UACGUAGGGUGCAGGCGUUGUCCGGAAUUAUUGGGCGUAAAGAGCUCGUAGGCGGUUUGUCGCGUCUGCUGUGAAAACUCGGGGCUUAACUCCGGGCCUGCAGUGGGUACGGGCAGACUAGAGUGCGGUAGGGGAGACUGGAAUUCCUGGUGUAGCGGUGAAAUGCGCAGAUAUCAGGAGGAACACCGGUGGCGAAGGCGGGUCUCUGGGCCGAUAUUGACGCUGAGGAGCGAAAGCGUGGGGAGCAAACAGG
rnacentral:rRNA from 1 species